rnacentral:rRNA from 1 species
UUCGUCACACUAUCAUUAACUGAAUCCAUAGGUUAAUGAGGCGAACCGGGGGAACUGAAACAUCUAAGUACCCCGAGGAAAAGAAAUCAACCGAGAUUCCCCCAGUAGCGGCGAGCGAACGGGGAGCAGCCCAGAGCCUGAAUCAGUGUGUGUGUUAGUGGAAGCGUCUGGAAAGGCGCGCGAUACAGGGUGACAGCCCCGUACACAAAAAUGCACAUGCUGUGAGCUCGAUGAGUAGGGCGGGACACGUGGUAUCCUGUCUGAAUAUGGGGGGACCAUCCUCCAAGGCUAAAUACUCCUGACUGACCGAUAGUGAACCAGUACCGUGAGGGAAAGGCGAAAAGAACCCCGGCGAGGGGAGUGAAAAAGAACCUGAAACCGUGUACGUACAAGCAGUGGGAGCACGCUUAGGCGUGUGACUGCGUACCUUUUGUAUAAUGGGUCAGCGACUUAUAUUCUGUAGCAAGGUUAACCGAAUAGGGGAGCCGAAGGGAAACCGAGUCUUAACUGGGCGUUAAGUUGCAGGGUAUAGACCCGAAACCCGGUGAUCUAGCCAUGGGCAGGUUGAAGGUUGGGUAACACUAACUGGAGGACCGAACCGACUAAUGUUGAAAAAUUAGCGGAUGACUUGUGGCUGGGGGUGAAAGGCCAAUCAAACCGGGAGAUAGCUGGUUCUCCCCGAAAGCUAUUUAGGUAGCGCCUCGUGAAUUCAUCUCCGGGGGUAGAGCACUGUUUCGGCAAGGGGGUCAUCCCGACUUACCAACCCGAUGCAAACUGCGAAUACCGGAGAAUGUUAUCACGGGAGACACACGGCGGGUGCUAACGUCCGUCGUGAAGAGGGAAACAACCCAGACCGCCAGCUAAGGUCCCAAAGUCAUGGUUAAGUGGGAAACGAUGUGGGAAGGCCCAGACAGCCAGGAUGUUGGCUUAGAAGCAGCCAUCAUUUAAAGAAAGCGUAAUAGCUCACUGGUCGAGUCGGCCUGCGCGGAAGAUGUAACGGGGCUAAACCAUGCACCGAAGCUGCGGCAGCGACGCUUAUGCGUUGUUGGGUAGGGGAGCGUUCUGUAAGCCUGUGAAGGUGUGCUGUGAGGCAUGCUGGAGGUAUCAGAAGUGCGAAUGCUGACAUAAGUAACGAUAAAGCGGGUGAAAAGCCCGCUCGCCGGAAGACCAAGGGUUCCUGUCCAACGUUAAUCGGGGCAGGGUGAGUCGACCCCUAAGGCGAGGCCGAAAGGCGUAGUCGAUGGGAAACAGGUUAAUAUUCCUGUACUUGGUGUUACUGCGAAGGGGGGACGGAGAAGGCUAUGUUGGCCGGGCGACGGUUGUCCCGGUUUAAGCGUGUAGGCUGGUUUUCCAGGCAAAUCCGGAAAAUCAAGGCUGAGGCGUGAUGACGAGGCACUACGGUGCUGAAGCAACAAAUGCCCUGCUUCCAGGAAAAGCCUCUAAGCAUCAGGUAACAUCAAAUCGUACCCCAAACCGACACAGGUGGUCAGGUAGAGAAUACCAAGGCGCUUGAGAGAACUCGGGUGAAGGAACUAGGCAAAAUGGUGCCGUAACUUCGGGAGAAGGCACGCUGAUAUGUAGGUGAAGUCCCUCGCGGAUGGAGCUGAAAUCAGUCGAAGAUACCAGCUGGCUGCAACUGUUUAUUAAAAACACAGCACUGUGCAAACACGAAAGUGGACGUAUACGGUGUGACGCCUGCCCGGUGCCGGAAGGUUAAUUGAUGGGGUCAGCGCAAGCGAAGCUCUUGAUCGAAGCCCCGGUAAACGGCGGCCGUAACUAUAACGGUCCUAAGGUAGCGAAAUUCCUUGUCGGGUAAGUUCCGACCUGCACGAAUGGCGUAAUGAUGGCCAGGCUGUCUCCACCCGAGACUCAGUGAAAUUGAACUCGCUGUGAAGAUGCAGUGUACCCGCGGCAAGACGGAAAGACCCCGUGAACCUUUACUAUAGCUUGACACUGAACAUUGAGCCUUGAUGUGUAGGAUAGGUGGGAGGCUUAGAAGUGUGGACGCCAGUCUGCAUGGAGCCGACCUUGAAAUACCACCCUUUAAUGUUUGAUGUUCUAACGUUGACCCGUAAUCCGGGUUGCGGACAGUGUCUGGUGGGUAGUUUGACUGGGGCGGUCUCCUCCUAAAGAGUAACGGAGGAGCACGAAGGUUGGCUAAUCCUGGUCGGACAUCAGGAGGUUAGUGCAAUGGCAUAAGCCAGCUUGACUGCGAGCGUGACGGCGCGAGCAGGUGCGAAAGCAGGUCAUAGUGAUCCGGUGGUUCUGAAUGGAAGGGCCAUCGCUCAACGGAUAAAAGGUACUCCGGGGAUAACAGGCUGAUACCGCCCAAGAGUUCAUAUCGACGGCGGUGUUUGGCACCUCGAUGUCGGCUCAUCACAUCCUGG